AGUCAGACCAGAAACAAGUAAAUAGGUAAGUGAUUGAACUGAAAACCAAAACCAAAAUCAAAAAAGAAACCUAGUUUGCUCUAAUGUAAAAUACUGCAGAGGCUGGGUGCAGUGGCUCACACCUGUAAUGUGAGCCAACACAGUGAAACCUUAUCUCUACUAAAAAUACAAAAAAUUAGCUGGGUGUGAUGGCACAGACCUAUAAUCCCAGCUACUCAGGAGGCUGAGGCAGGAGCAUCGCUUGAACCUGGGAGGCGGAGGUUGCAGUGAGCUGAGAUCGUGUCACUGCACUCCAGCCUGGGUGACAGAGUGCGACUCCAUCUCAAAAAAAAAAAAAAUUGUAGAGAUGACUGACCAAUAAGGGACAUCCUUUCUGGAGAAUGACACUGAAUUUGGAUGAGAAGCAACUGAACAUUCUAAGAGCCUCUGCUCUCAGAAUUUGAGGAGGAGCAGAGAGUGUGGAGGUAGUUGAUGUUCCAGGCAGAGGAAACAGCAUGCGAAAGCACAAGACAGAAAAUAUUUUGGCUUGUUGGGGAACCGAAUAGAAGAACUUUAGCCCACUUUUUAAGGCUUGGUUUUGAAUAAAAAUGAGAUAUCUGAGUGGAGAUCUGGAAUAGGAAGAAAUUAACAGCCUAAAAGGGAGUAAAGUGUUACUGGUAAUAUUCAUUCUUUUGAUAAAUAUGCAUUCAGUCAGUCAUUAUUCUGACCACUGUAGGGAUAGGAGUCAGGAGCUUACAUUUUUGAAGGGGAAGAUAAAUCAGAAAAUAAGUAACUCAAUACAUCAUUUACUUUCAGAUCAUAAUAGGUGCUGUGAAGAUGCUACAAUAUCAUGGGAAUGAUGGUGACUAUUUUAAGUAGAAAAGUCAGAGAAGACACUCAAAGAGCAAGAGCAUGUGCGAAGGUCUUGAGAUCUGCAUUGUGUGCAGCUGUUUCAGGCUGGCGAUGUUCUCAGGGUUCCCUAUCUUGCAUCACUCAAGCAUACCUCACCCCAUUGUAUCCAAAGGGACCCACCAUAUCCGGGAAGCCAAGGUUUUCUCUGGUCCACACUGUACCUCUUCUCUCUCCUCGAUUCUUGCUGCUGCUUUUUUUUUUUUUCCCUGUGGACCUAUACAACUUAUCUUCCCACCCAGCUACACAGCCAGCAGCACUUUCUCCUUCUUAAGAUUUUUCCCUCUGAGAAAUUUACUAAAGUCACCAAGAUAUUUUUGGAGGGAGAAAAUGCUGUCAAAGAUCAUUG
rnacentral:lncRNA from 1 species